AAGUCGUAACAAGGUUUCCGUAGGUGAACCUGCGGAAGGAUCAUUACAAAUCCAUCCACGUCUCAUUUCCUUGAGACCACGUUGAAAUGUUCCCUAGUGUGUGUGUGUAUGUAUGUAUGUGUUGUGGUCUCCUCGACCUUCAGCCGCUUCAUCGGCCGUCCGUCCUGUGGUGGCACACAAUGCAAUACUACAACAAUACACACUAGGCUUGUAAACUAGUAUCAUCUGUUGCUCAAUUGUAUCUUGCUUGAUUGUAAUGAUCAAGGUAAACAAAGUACAACUUAUAACAAUGGAUCUCUAGGCUCUU
rnacentral:misc_RNA from 1 species